rnacentral:rRNA from 1 species
GAUGAACGCUGGCGGCGUGCCUAACACAUGCAAGUCGAGCGAUCUUCUUCGGAAGAGAGCGGCGGACGGGUGAGUAACGCGUGGGUAACCUGCCCUGUACACACGGAUAACAUACCGAAAGGUAUGCUAAUACGAGAUAAUAUGCUUUUGUCGCAUGGUAGAAGUAUCAAAGCUCCGGCGGUACAGGAUGGACCCGCGUCUGAUUAGCUAGUUGGUAAGGUAACGGCUUUACCAAGGCGACGAUCAGUAGCCGACCUGAGAGGGUGAUCGGCCACAUUGGAACUGAGACACGGUCCAAACUCCUACGGGAGGCAGCAGUGGGGAAUAUUGCACAAUGGGCGAAAGCCUGAUGCAGCAACGCCGCGUGAGCGAUGAAGGCCUUCGGUCGUAAAGCUCUGUCCUCAAGGAAGAUAAUGACGGUACUUGAGGAGGAA